GUGUGGAGGAGAGGAGAGACACCAUGCCUGAGAUUAGUGCAGGACAGAGAGGCAUAGCCGCGAGGUGAAAAAGCCAGGAGAGCACGGCCCAGAGGGCUGCCCAGCUGGGUCCAGGGCAGCCAAGAUAGAACACAGAAUUUAGUAAGUAGUAACUCGGAAUUAUUGGCGGGAGGUAGUGGAAGUUAGACAGUCUGGCCUACCUUUUGAGCUGACUAAGGUACAUUAAAAUAUAAAGGCUG
rnacentral:lncRNA from 1 species